AAUACGAAGGGGGCUAGCGUUGCUCGGAAUCACUGGGCGUAAAGGGCGCGUAGGCGGACUUUUAAGUCGGAGGUGAAAGCCCAGGGCUCAACCCUGGAAUUGCCUUCGAUACUGGGAGUCUUGAGUUCGGAAGAGGUUGGUGGAACUGCGAGUGUAGAGGUGAAAUUCGUAGAUAUUCGCAAGAACACCAGUGGCGAAGGCGGCCAACUGGUCCGAUACUGACGCUGAGGCGCGAAAGCGUGGGGAGCAAACA
rnacentral:rRNA from 1 species